GCUUGCUUCUUUGAUGACGACCGGCGCACGGGUGCGUAACGCGUAUAGAAUCUACCUUAUACUGAGGGAUAGCCUUUGGAAACGAAGAUUAAUACCUCAUAGUAUGUUUUUAUCGCAUGAUAGAUACAUUAAAGGUUACGGUAUAAGAUGACUAUGCGUUCUAUUAGCUAGAUGGUGUGGUAACGGCACACCAUGGCAACGAUAGAUAGGGGCCCUGAGAGGGGGAUCCCCCACACUGGUACUGAGACACGGACCAGACUCCUACGGGAGGCAGCAGUGAGGAAUAUUGGACAAUGGAGGCAACUCUGAUCCAGCCAUGCCGCGUGCAGGAAGACUGCCCUAUGGGUUGUAAACUGCUUUUAUACAGGAAGAAACCUUUUCACGUGUGAGAAGCUGACGGUACUGUAAGAAUAAGGAUCGGCUAACUCCGUGCCAGCAGCCGCGGUAAUACGGAGGAUCCAAGCGUUAUCCGGAAUCAUUGGGUUUAAAGGGUCCGUAGGUGGAUAAUUAAGUCAGGGGUGAAAGUCUGCAGCUCAACUGUAGAAUUGCCUUUGAUACUGGUUAUCUUGAAUUAUUGUGAAGUAGUUAGAAUAUGUAGUGUAGCGGUGAAAUGCAUAGAUAUUACAUAGAAUACCAAUUGCGAAGGCAGAUUACUAACAAUAUAUUGACACUGAUGGACGAAAGCGUGGGGAGCGAACAGGAUUAGAUACCCUGGUAGUCCACGCCGUAAACGAUGGUCACUAGCUGUUCGGAUUUAUCUGAGUGGCUAAGCGAAAGUGAUAAGUGACCCACCUGGGGAGUACGUUCGCAAGAAUGAAACUCAAAGGAAUUGACGGGGGCCCGCACAAGCGGUGGAGCAUGUGGUUUAAUUC
rnacentral:rRNA from 1 species